rnacentral:tRNA from 1 species
UAACUCAGUUGGUAGAGUGCUUGCCUUGCAUGCACAAGGCUCUGGGUUCAAGCCCCAG